rnacentral:rRNA from 1 species
AUUGAACGCUGGCGGCAUGCUUUACACAUGCAAGUCGAACGGUAACAGGGUGCUUGCACCGCUGACGAGUGGCGAACGGGUGAGUAAUGCGUCGGAACGUGCCGAGUAGUGGGGGAUAACGCAUCGAAAGGUGUGCUAAUACCGCAUACGUACCGAGGUAGAAAGUGGGGGACCUUCGGGCCUCACGCUAUUCGAGCGGCCGACGUCUGAUUAGCUAGUUGGUGAGGUAAAGGCUCACCAAGGCGACGAUAAGUAGCGGGUCUGAGAGGAUGACCCGCCACACUGGGACUGAGACACGGCCCAGACUCCUGCGGGGGGCAGCAGUGGGGAAUUUUGGACAAUGGGCGCAAGCCUGAUCCAGCCAUGCCGCGUGUCUGAAGAAGACCUUCGGGUUGUAAAGGACUUUUGUCCGGGAGCAAAUGCCUGGUGUUAAUAGCACUGGGAGCUGAGAGUACCGGAAGAAUAAGCACCGGCUAACUACGUGCCAGCAGCCGCCGUAAUAC